GCAUCGAUGCAAACGCGGCACAAAUUGUUCGAUGAUUCGGAAGCAGAUCGUUGGGGGAACGAGCAAUCUCCCUCAUGGGCGAUCUAGAUCGAGCGAUAACAAGGUGGUGAUCGAAAGAACCGCGAGAAGACGACAAGCACUGGGUGCUCCGCAUCAUCGAACUCACUGUCUGCGGCCAUUCUGAUCAGGGUCAAUUUCUUUGGUUAUAAUAUUUACGUGGGAAUCGGUGGACGCGAUGGGAUAAUUCAAUGCCCGAGGCAACUACUAGUCGACUGUGAAGAGAAUCCGAUUGCGAUGGUUGCUAAGUUGGCACCCGUGGGCUUGUCGAUGCAUCCACCGACUGGUCAGGUCUUAGGGUGUUAAGCACGGCUUGUGUUGAGCUUGAUGUGUCUGCUCGUUACCAGACUGGUGGUCUGGUGUAGUUGAGGAUUUUGGCCCAGGUGGUGUUUGUGGAGUGUGUUUUAGUGUCGUUGGAGAAAUCUGUAAUAACAACGGCACAGCGCGUGUUUGAAGUCGAUGUUGUGUUCGUGAGUGCAUCGCCAGUUGGUCAUGAGGGGGAAUCUACGCGCAGACAUAUAGGCGUGGCGACUGCGUUUCUUCCCUGGUACCGAAGCCAAGCGUUUUCAUCAGCGAUAUGGAGCACAGCAAUCGAACCUAGCAGCCAUCGCGACGUUCUGCAUGCAUGAACGCAUCGAAAAGGGGGGAGGCCAGACUCUGUGGAUCCAUCCCCCCGGAGCUUGGAUCCGUCGACAAAUAGCCGUUUGAUGCGCACCAAUCUUUCAGGUGAGAAAAACGCCGGAAGUGUGAGUUUUACUAGAAUUGUUAGGGUCUGUUUCAACAGCACAAAACUGUUGAGAACCAUGAGAUCACAACACUAUGUACAAGCAUUUAUCUAAUACUGAAUGAGUCCUUAUAACUACUA